rnacentral:piRNA from 1 species
UUUUAGUGAUGUGAUGAGC